AGUCAGUAUUCGCGGGUGCAGCAUCAUCAAGAUUCACAUACAGGCAAGGGGGCUACCUUUAUCGAUCGAGUAAAUUGUUACCGCACCAAUAAGAAUAUUUCCUUCAACUUCCUUUUGUACUUGAAAGGUAGUUCCUUCGAAGUGGGAAUCUUGAUGAUGCUGCAUCAGCUGGUACAUGACU
rnacentral:pre_miRNA from 1 species